AGCACCAGUGGUCUAGUGGUAGAAUAGUACCCUGUCACGGUACAGACCCGGGUUCGAUUCCCGGCUGGUGCAUUUGAUAGAGCUAUGAUGAUAAUUAGCAUUUCUGUGUUUGUUGGUCAAUCACUUUCAUCUCUAAGAUGAAAAUAUGUGCUUCUGAGCUC